rnacentral:rRNA from 1 species
GGUGAGUAACGCGUAGGAAUCUGCCUCAUAGUGGGGGACAACGUGGGGAAACUCACGCUAAUACCGCAUACGCCCUACGGGGGAAAGCGGGGGAUCUUCGGACCUCGCGCUAUGAGAUGAGCCUGCGUUAGAUUAGCUAGUUGGUGGGGUAAAGGCCUACCAAGGCGACGAUCUAUAGCUGGUCUGAGAGGACGAUCAGCCACACUGGGACUGAGACACGGCCCAGACUCCUACGGGAGGCAGCAGUGGGGAAUAUUGGACAAUGGGCGAAAGCCUGAUCCAGCAAUACCGCGUGUGUGAAGAAGGCCUUCGGGUUGUAAAGCACUUUCAAUUGGGAGGAAAACCUACCGGUCAAUACCCGGUAGCUUGACAUUACCUUUAGAAGAAGCACCGGCUAACUCCGUGCCAGCAGCCGCGGUAAUACGGAGGGUGCGAGCGUUAAUCGGAAUUACUGGGCGUAAAGCGUGCGUAGGCGGUUCGUUAAGUCAGAUGUGAAAGCCCUGCGCUCAACCUGGGAACGGCAUUUGAAACUGGCGGACUAGAGUUUAGUAGAGGGGAGUGGAAUUUCAGGUGUAGCGGUGAAAUGCGUAGAUAUCUGAAGGAACACCAGUGGCGAAGGCGACUCCCUGGACUAGAACUGACGCUGAGGUACGAAAGCGUGGGUAGCAAACAGGAUUAGAUACCCUGGUAGUCCACGCUGUAAACGAUGUCAACUAGCCGUUGGUCCUAUUUACAGGAUUAGUGGCGCAGCUAACGCAUUAAGUUGACCGCCUGGGGAGUACGGCCGCAAGGUUA